rnacentral:rRNA from 1 species
CGAGUCGCGCGAGAAUGUAGCAAUACAGGAAAGCGGCGAAAGGGAGAGGACAACAUGGGAAUCUGCCCGGGGGUCGAGGAUAGCGUCGGGAAACUGACGGUAAUACUCGAUAAUGUUUACGGACCAAAGGUUUACUGCCCCUGGAUGAGCCCAUGCCCCAUUAGCUAGUUGGCGGUGUAAUAGACCACCAAGGCGAUGAUGGGUAGCUGGUGCGAGAGCACGACCAGCCUCACUGGCACUGAGACACUGGCCAGACACCUACGGGUGGCUGCAGUCGAGAAUCUUCGGCAAUGGACGAAAGUCUGACCGAGCGACGCCGCGUGCGGGACGAAGACCUUCGGGUUGUAAACCGCUGUCGAGGGGGAUUAAGGGCAACUUGAAAGAACCCUGGAGGAAGGAGAGGCUAAGCUCGUGCCAGCAGCCGCGGUAAGACGAGCUCUCCAAACGUUAUUCGGUAUCACUGGGCUUAAAGAGUUCGUAGGCGGCUUUACAGGUGGGGUGUGAAAGCCCUCGGCUCAACCGAGGAAUUGCGCCCCAAACCGUAAGGCUUGAGGGAUAUAGGGGUAAGCGGAACAGAUGGUGGAGCGGUGAAAUGCAUUGAUAUCAUCUGGAACACCGGUGGCGAAGGCGGCUUACUGGAUAUUUUCUGACGCUGAGGAACGAAAGCUAGGGUAGCGAACGGGAUUAGAUACCCCGGUAGUCCUAGCCGUAAACGAUGAGCACUAGUUUGAAGGACUCUCACAGUCUUUCGAACGUAGCGAAGUGUUAAGUGCUCCGCCUGGGGAGUAUGGUCGCAAGGCUGAACUCAAAGGAAUUGACGG